UAGAUUAGCAUGGCCCCUGCGCAAGGAUGACACGCAAAUUUGUGAAGCAUUCCAUAUAUUA
ensembl:snRNA U6 U6 spliceosomal RNA